UACGUAGGUGGCAAGCGUUAUCCGGAUUUACUGGGCGUAAAGGGAGCGUAGGCGGAUACUUAAGUGGGACGUGAAAUACCUGGGCUUAACUUGGGUGCUGCAUUCCAAACUGGGUGUCUAGAGUGUUGGAGAGGAAAGUGGAAUUCCUAGUGUAGCGGUGAAAUGCGUAGAGAUUAGGAAGAACACCAGUGGCGAAGGCGACUUUCUGGACAAUAACUGACGCUGAGGCUCGAAAGCGUGGGGAGCAAACAGGAUUAGAUACCCUGGUAGUCCACGCCGUAAACGAUGGGUACUAGGUGUAGGAGGGAUCGACUCCUCCUGUGCCGCAGUUAACGCAAUAAGUACCCCGCCUGGGGAGUACGGUCGCAAGAUUAAA
rnacentral:rRNA from 1 species